UAGGGAAUCUUCGGCAAUGGGGGGAACCCUGACCGAGCAACGCCGCGUGAGUGAAGAAGGCUUUCGGAUCGUAAAGCUCUGUUGUUAAGGAAGAACGAGUGUGAGAAUGGAAAGUUCAUACUGUGACGGUACUUAACCAGAAAGGGACGGCUAACUACGUGCCAGCAGCCGCGGUAAUACGUAGGUCCCGAGCGUUGUCCGGAUUUAUUGGGCGUAAAGCGAGCGCAGGCGGUUAGAAAAGUCUGAAGUGAAAGGCAGUGGCUCAACCAUUGUAGGCUUUGGAAACUGUUUAACUUGAGUGCAGAAGGGGAGAGUGGAAUUCCAUGUGUAGCGGUGAAAUGCGUAGAUAUAUGGAGGAACACCGGUGGCGAAAGCGGCUCUCUGGUCUGUAACUGACGCUGAGGCUCGAAAGCGUGGGGAGCAAACAGGAUUAGAUACCCUGGUAGUCCACGCCGUAAACGAUGAGUGCUAGGUGUUGGGUCCUUUCCGGGACUCAGUGCCGCAGCUAACGCAUUAAGCACUCCGCCUGGGGAGUACGACCGCAAGGUUG
rnacentral:rRNA from 1 species